CUGAGGAAGCCCCUACCCUCCCACUCUGCUGCGCAUGCUGAGCCUGGAGGCGAGUAUAAAAGGAAGCAGCCCAGCUCACUCUUGGCAGGCUGCUGAAGGAGGAGGAUGCAGACUGCGGGCUCUCUCCAGUUAGGUGCUACAGGUACCGAUUACAGGCUGCCUAAUAAGCCUGGAGAAGAGACCAUGCCAGAAGGAGCUAUACCACAUGAGGACCCAGGGAAACCAUGGAGCAUCACUGAGGGACUUAGACUUUUCUCUGGAAUCUCUCCCAGACCUCCAUUUUGGAUUUAUGUGACUGUGACUGCUUGCGACUGCCACCUUGUUAUCACUAGCUGUAACCAUAAUCUGGCAGAUACCAAGGAACCCUGAAGAUGGUACAGCUCUUCAUAGAGCAUCCCCAGGACCAGGAGACUGCAAAGGGCCAUUUUUACCUGCCUUCCUUAGCUGUGCCAAGCACUCCUGGGACACAAUAGAGGAACUCAUUACACCAUCUUCUCAUUAUGGAACAGUACUAGGCUGAGACUACUUCUUGACAAGAAAGACUGGGAAGUUUUGAUUGUCGCUUAUCUUGGCUUAGGUAUGCUAGUUUAGUAAGAACUUCCAAAGGUUCAUGGGCUCAGAUCAGAUGAUCAUCAAAACUUCUGGAUGAUCCAAAAUUAUGUGGCAUAGAAGUUAUUCUGAAAAUAUCUCAUGUUCAAAUUGCCUCAUGAAAUCCUCAGUACUACCUGUUCUUGGCCUGUCCAAAACCAGUAGAUAAAAAGGUGAGUAAAAUGUAAAACACACAAUUUAUUUUUGAACUGUAUAAAAGGACCAAAUUCAGUUUGACUUUUUUAUUACCCUGUUAUUUUGGCUGACAUUAAUUGGGUUGCCCACCCAUUAUUACAAUUCAUUAUCUAUGAAUUUCCUAGAGACUGUAUUCCAUUGUCACUCCAUUAUCCUAAACUAACACAGAAUGUAGCUGCUUCAAUUUUCAUUGGACCAGAUUACCCCUUCAUGUAGAAACCCAUCAGAGUGAGCAAGGAGUUUUUUUCCCAGAUACUUCAAUACU